rnacentral:rRNA from 1 species
ACGGGUGCGUAACACGUGAGCGACCUGCCGAUCCGCGGGGGAUAGCCGGCCCAACGGCCGGGUAAUACCGCAUACGCUCUAUUGCCUGCAUGGGCGGUAGAGGAAACCUCCGGGGCGGAUCGAGGGGCUCGCGGCCUAUCAGCUAGUUGGUGGGGUAACGGCUCACCAAGGCGACGACGGGUAGCUGGUCUGAGAGGAUGGCCAGCCACAUUGGGACUGAGAAACGGCCCAGACUCCUACGGGAGGCAGCAGUGGGGAAUAUUGCGCAAUGGCCGAAAGGCUGACGCAGCGACGCCGCGUGUGGGAUGAAGCUCUUCGGGGUGUAAACCACUGUUGCCCGGGACGAACAGCCUGAUUUAUCGGGCCUGACAGUACCGGGUGAGGAAGCACCGGCUAACUCCGUGCCAGCAGCCGCGGUAAUACGGAGGGUGCGAGCGUUGUCCGGAAUCACUGGGCGUAAAGGGCGCGUAGGCGGCUCGGCAAGUCUGCGGUGAAAGCCCGGGGCUCAACCCCGGGUCGGCCGUGGAUACUUUCGAGCUUGAGCACUGUAGAGGCAGGCGGAAUUCCGGGUGUAGCGGUGGAAUGCGUAGA